AGUAGUAAUUAAGGAAAAACUCUCAUUUUUAAAAUCUUUUUGUUUUUACUUUUAUUUUAAUUAAGCAAUAUUGAAAGUUUAGUUUCUCCUUUAUUAUAGGGUCUAUGACCCUCAAUGUUACAUGAUAGACGUAGAAAAAGCCACACGCAAGGGCAAUAUGGACAGAAGUAGCCGGGUCUAAAAUUGUACAAAUGACAUGAGGGACAUAGAGAGAGCCCCACACAAGCAAAAUAUCGAUAGAAGCAACUGGGCCUAAGAUUGUUAAAAUCGUAUUGUGAGCGUUGGAGGAGCCCCAUGGAAAGACAAUAUGGACAGAAGUAGCCGGGUCUAAGACUGUCAUAGUCAUAUCAGGGACGUAGAAGGAGGCCCACGCAUUGACAAUAUAGGCAGAUGUAGCCGGGUCUAAGAUUGUCAAGAUCACAUGAGGGACGUAGAAGGAGCCCCACG